rnacentral:misc_RNA from 1 species
ACCCUUGUGGAGGAGGACGCCGAAGGUGGGGCUAAUGACUGGGGUGAAGUCGUAACAAGGUAGCCGUACCGGAAGGUGCGGCUGGAUCACCUCCUAACAGGGAGACAACAAAAUGUUUAAUAUUAUUAUUUUGUCACCUUAGGUCGAUCGGUAUCUCACGUUCUUAAUUUAUUAAGAAUUUCAUUUCCUAAGUUUUUCUAGGUCACACCCAUUAUUUUCCUGGGCCAUUAGCUCAGGUGGUUAGAGCGCACCCCUGAUAAGGGUGAGGUCCCUGGUUCAAGUCCAGGAUGGCCCAUAUCUCUAUGUUGGGGGUAUAGCUCAGUUGGUAGAGCGCCUGCUUUGCAAGCAGGAUGUCAGCGGUUCGAGUCCGCUUACCUCCACUGAUUACCACCUCUUCCAUAAUCUGUAGAAAGGAAAAUUUUUUGAGUUGUGAUCAUCAUUCUGAACGAAUCUAGCUUCCUAAUGAAAUUAUUAAGAUGCUGGACUCAUUGAAUUAAUUUCAUUGUUUUCAGAGAACCUUGACAACUGCAUAGAUUAUUUUUAAAGACAAUAAGCAUCUUUAAUGAUGCAGAUUUAUUAUUUGUGCAAAUGCAUUAAUAACAAUUCUAUUAAGCUGAUGCUUCAAUUAUGAAGUUAUUGGUCAAGCUACAAAGGGCUCACGGAGGAUACCUAGGCACACAGAGGC